rnacentral:rRNA from 1 species
AUACGUAGGUGACAAGCGUUAUCCGGAUUUACUGGGCGUAAAGGGCGUGUAGGCGGUCUUGCAAGUCAGAAGUGAAAUUCCUGAGCUCAACUCGGGCGCUGCUUCUGAAACUGCAGGACUUGAGUGCUGGAGGGGAUAGCGGAAUUCCUAGUGGAGCGGUAAAAUGCGCAGAUAUUAGGAAGAACACCGGUGGCGAAGGCGGCGAUCUGGACAGAAACGGACGCUGAGGCGCGAAAGCGUGGGGAGCAACCAGGAUUAGAUACCCUGGUAGUCCACGCUGUAAACGAUGAAUACUAGGUGUAGGGGGUAUCGACUCCCUCUGUGCCGCAGUUAACACAAUAAGUAUUCCGCCUGGGGUGUACGGCCGCAAGGUUGAAACUCAAAUGAAUUGACGGGG